UCUGGCUCAGGAUGAACGCUAGCUACAGGCUUAACACAUGCAAGUCGAGGGGCAGCGGGAUUGAAGCUUGCUUCAAUUGCCGGCGACCGGCGCACGGGUGAGUAACGCGUAUCCAACCUUCCGUACACUCAGGGAUAGCCUUUCGAAAGAAAGAUUAAUACCUGAUGGUAUGAUGAGAUUGCAUGAUAGCAUCAUUAAAGAUUUAUCGGUGUACGAUGGGGAUGCGUUCCAUUAGGUAGUAGGCGGGGUAACGGCCCACCUAGCCGACGAUGGAUAGGGGUUCUGAGAGGAAGGUCCCCCACAUUGGAACUGAGACACGGUCCAAACUCCUACGGGAGGCGGCAGUGAGGAAUAUUGGUCAAUGGACGAGAGUCUGAACCAGCCAAGUAGCGUGAAGGAUGAAGGUCCUACGGAUUGUAAACUUCUUUUAUAAGGGAAUAAACCCUUCCACGUGUGGGAGCUUGUAUGUACCUUAUGAAUAAGCAUCGGCUAACUCCGUGCCAGCAGCCGCGGUAAUACGGAGGAUGCGAGCGUUAUCCGGAUUUAUUGGGUUUAAAGGGAGCGCAGACGGGUCGUUAAGUCAGCUGUGAAAGUUUGGGGCUCAACCUUAAAAUUGCAGUUGAUACUGGCGUCCUUGAGUGCGGUUGAGGUGUGCGGAAUUCGUGGUGUAGCGGUGAAAUGCUUAGAUAUCACGAAGAACUCCGAUUGCGAAGGCAGCACACUAAGCCGUAACUGACGUUCAUGCUCGAAAGUGUGGGUAUCAAACAGGAUUAGAUACCCUGGUAGUCCACACGGUAAACGAUGGAUACUCGCUGUUGGCGAUAUACUGUCAGCGGCUUAGCGAAAGCGUUAAGUAUCCCACCUGGGGAGUACGCCGGCAACGGUGCAACUCAAAUGAAUUGACGG
rnacentral:rRNA from 1 species